rnacentral:rRNA from 1 species
UACGUAGGGGGCUAGCGUUGUCCGGAAUCAUUGGGCGUAAAGAGCGUGUAGGCGGCCCGGUAAGUCCGCUGUGAAAGUCGGGGGCUCAACCCUCGGAUGCCGGUGGAUACUGUCGGGCUCGAGUACGGAAGAGGCGAGUGGAAUUCCUGGUGUAGCGGUGAAAUGCGCAGAUAUCAGGAAGAACACCCGUGGCGAAGGCGGCUCUCUGGGACGGUACUGACGCUGAGACGCGAAAGCGUGGGGAGCGAACAGG